GAUGAACGCUGGCGGCAUGCCUAAGACAUGCAAGUCGAACGAGGUGGCCCAAAGAAGAUUGAGUGCUUGCACAAGAUUGGACUUGGAUUACCACCUAGUGGCGGACGGGUGAGUAACACGUAGGUGACCUGCCUUUGAGUUUGGGAUAACUAUUAGAAAUGAUAGCUAAUACCGGAUUAAAUGCAGAUUCGUUUCUGUAUUAAAAGGAGCCUUUAAAAGCUUCGCUUAAAGAUGGGCCUGCGGCGUAUUAGCUAGUUGGUGAGGUAAUGGCUUACCAAGGCGACGAUGCGUAGCCGAACUGAGAGGUUGAUCGGCCACAUUGGGACUGAGACACGGCCCAAAAUCCUACGGGGAGACAGCAGUUAGGAAUAUUCGUCAAUGGGGGAAACCCUGAACGAGCAAUGCCGCGUGAACGAUGAAGGCCCUAUGGGUUGUAAAAGUUCUGUUGCAUGGGACGAACGAUUAGGAUAGGAAAUGAUCUUAAAUGUGACGGUACCAUGCCAAG
rnacentral:rRNA from 1 species